rnacentral:rRNA from 1 species
CUGAGUGGCGGACGGGUGAGUAACGCGUGGGUAACCUGCCUCACACAGGGGGAUAACAGUUGGAAACGACCGCUAAUACCGCAUAAGCCGGAAGGAUCGCAUGAUUCGGCCGGAAAAGAUUUAUCGGUGUGAGAUGGACCCGCGUCUGAUUAGCCAGUUGGCAGGGUAACGGCCUACCAAAGCGACGAUCAGUAGCCGGCCUGAGAGGGUGAACGGCCACAUUGGGACUGAGACACGGCCCAAACUCCUACGGAAGGCAGCAG